UUUUCCCUGUUCUUCACGUGGGACACAUUCUCCCUGCUCUGUCUGUCUCUGUCCCUGUCUCUCUUUCUGUCUUUCUCUCUCACUGUGUGUCUCUCUGUCUCUCUCUCUCUUUUUUUUUUUUUUUGAGAUGGAGUUUCGCUCUUGUUGCCCAGGCUGGAGUGCAAUGGCACAAUCUUGGCUCACUGCAACCUCUGCCUCCCGGGUUCAAGCGAUUCUCCUGCCUCAGCCUCCUGAGCAGCUGGGAUUACAGGCAUGCACCACCACACACGGCUAAUUUUUUGUAUUUUUGUUAGAGACGGGGGGCUCUCCAUGUUGCUCAGGCUGGUCUUGAACUCCCGACCUCAGGUGAUCUGCCCACCUCAGCCUCCCAAAGUCCUGGGAUUACAGGCAUGAGCCACUGCGUCCAGCCGUCUUUGUCUCUUUUUCUACAUCUCUGUCUUUCUUCUCUGGUUGUUUUUCAACCAUCAGCUGGGUGUUUUCUCCCAUAACGUCUUGUUUGUUUGACUAUGAGGUUGACAGGUGGGUACAUGAACUCUAUAGCAGAAGGUGGACAGUCUGCACAUAGCAGAGGAUGGGUGAAUUUUUCUACCCCUUGCAGAGCACAGGAGAGCUGAGCAGAUGCCAGUGUCUGCUCCAGUGUAAGGAAGUCCAGGAAGUUCAGGUGGUGAGGUCACAGUGGAAAGCAGGACAGAUAGAGUUUAGGGGAAAUUAAGCAAAAAUACCACACUGUUAUUUCUUGACAUAUUAGUGGAAAGAGGAAGGGCCCAGAGAGAAGACAGAAAAUUAGAUGCAGGGGCUUGUUUUUUCUCUUGACUUGCCAACCCGCCCAACGCAGGGGCCAGAACUCAGGGUGGUGAGAUCUGGGAACAUUGCUGUGCGGAGAAGAUGUCCCUCCUGCUGCACGGGCCCCCAAGCACCACCUGGGGGAAGAGCCAUGUUUAAUUCACCUGGCAGUGCAGUGUGGCCAGGCAGAGAGGGAGGGCCUACCCUGUGCUUAUGAUCCCACCCCAGUUCCCCUGGGGUGUGCCCUGGCGGUGAACACCAGGAGGCUGCAGUGGGGCCCAACGUGAAAGGGAGGAGCAGCCUCACCGGGGCCAGAUGGGGCAGCAGCAGAUAUUCACAGAUGUCCCUGUGAGUAACCAGGGCAGAGGCCAGGGGUCUGGCCUUCCCUUUCUUGGAGCCCUGGGCCAGCUGGGCAAGGCGUUGAGAGAAAGAUUACCCGGUGACCUUUAUCAAAGCAGAGUAAGGAGGGCUUUAUUCAGAACCAUCACUGUAGGUACCAGGACCCCAGCGGUGGGAUUUUGUAGUAGGGGAAAGAAAAUGGGCUCGACGUUGAAUACAGCAUGAACAAGUGAGAAUGUUUGUUAUACAAACUAUAGGGUGGACUUUUUUUUUCUUUUUUUUAACUUUUUUUUACCUUUUAGUGUAAAACUGAACAUAGAAAAUAAAUUCAUGAAGAAGGGAUAUUUUCUGAGGGUGUCCAGGGCUGCCCAACACCUCGUCUACCUUCUCUGUCAUAGCCCCAUUUAAAACACUCUCUCUGGAUGAAUACACCAAACCUCACAGUCUUUGCUCUCUUGCUAGGAAGAGGAGCAAGAGCGUGUUUCACUCUUGGCUCCUGCUUACACACCUGCUGUCCAAUGGAAACUACUACUUAAGACAUUUAAAAAUAGUUGUGGUGAUAGCAUGUUGUGUUUUGGUUGGUGAUGCCAGUUAGUCUCUGAAAACUUUCUGUGAUGAGUGUAAAAUUCUACACCUUAAUCUCCUUUCUUGUAGGAUCUGGGAAGCAGUAUGCACUUGAUUGCACCAAAGAUUUUACGUUCAUAGAAAAUUUCUGGCAUCUGUGUGAAGAAAGUAAACUAUAUCUUCCAUUUAGACAAAUAAAAUAUCUUUUUGAUAAAA
rnacentral:lncRNA from 1 species